rnacentral:tRNA from 1 species
GAUUCUUUCGUAUAAUCGGUAAAUACAACUAUCUUUCACGUAGUUUACACCAGUUCGAAACUGGUAAGGAUCG